ACAAGUUCAAUUGGAAGCAGCAACGUGACAAGAUAAGCAGCUGAUGUCACUUGUCAACAUUUAGUCCUCCAUCGUUUGAAGGUCACGUCCCUUGCUGUUUGCUUUACAUAGUGUAGUGUUUAGCAAGCGGCUGGUGUCGGCUGGAAGGAGGUUUCAGUCAAUGGGGCAGUACGACUAGGGAGAACUCAAGAAGGUUAGCUACUUUCUCACACUCUUACCAUCCGGCUAUUAGUUGCUUUCGACCUUAUUCCUGGUUAACUACUUGAUGAUCUGACCAAAUCUGAUACCUUAUUGACGCUAUUUGCUAUGAGUGGGAUCAGAGAUCAAAAUGGUUCCACAUACCUUCACAAAAUCAUGUAUGCUCUGACAUUGGCGCAUGAUUUAUAUAUAAAUUUCAGACCGCAGAUAUGUCUAUUGUAAAUGCAUAACCAUGAGCUUAUAUGUGUUUCGUUGGCUCCAGAGGUGCUAAAGAGAAACUAUGGCCCAGAGGUUGAUGUUUGGAGUGCAAGAGUGAUUAUGUACAUAUUUUCCCUGGUAAUGAACUUUUUACUACUUCAUUCCUAGAAACAUUGUCUUUACAUAGUGUAGUGUUUGGAUGCAAUUGUCUGUGCCACUAUCACAUUGUUGGCAUGUAGAAACUCUUGUGUUGAUUUAAUCCUAUCUCCAUCACUUGCCUAUAUGUUAACCUGGUCUUUGUACAGUUUGGUUACCAAGCAAAAUUAUUUCUAAAUUUGUUUGUGUUGCAAUCACAGUCUCAUAUUUACCUCCACUCAACAAAAUACUGUUGUUUUGGUCUAUAGAAGUUUUUUGUCACUUGGUAAUGCUGUUUUGGUCUAUAGAAGUUUUUUGAUAUGCCAUUAUAUCCACUUUGCUACUAUCUGCUGUGCUUGUGAUUUGCCUGUUUGGAGAUCAUGUUUUACAAAUCAAGUAAUUCAGACUAUUCUUGGUAUGCCAUUAUUUCCACUUUUCAUUCAGUGACUGAACCUACCGAGACUGAAGCAAGUAGGGACAGAGCAAAAAACUCUCUUGAGAACUGGGCAUCCAAUCAGAAAGUAAGUUAUAGAUAGAUACCUUAGUUUGAUGUACAUAGGUUUUUGUUAAA
rnacentral:lncRNA from 1 species